AUUAAUUUAAUGGCUGCAGUAUUUUAACUGUACAAAGGUAGCAUAAUAAUUAGUUCCUUAAUUAGGGACUGGAAUGAAUGAUUGAACGAGAUAAAAAUUGUCUCUUUCUAAAUUUUAUAAUUUUAUUUUUAAGUUAAAAAGCUUAAAUUAUAUUAAAAGACGAGAAGACCCUAUAGAGUUUUAUAAUUAUAUUAAAAUUAAAUUUUAGAAUUUAAAUAUUAAUUAUAUAUUAAUUAUUUGGUUGGGGUGAUUAGAAAAUUUAAUAAACUUUUUUAUAUUUUACAUAAAUUAAUGAAUAAAUGAUCCAUUUUUUAUGAUUAAAAGAUUAAAUUACCUUAGGGAUAACAGCGUAAUUUUUUUAAAGAGUUCUAAUCGAAAAAAAAGAUUGCGACCUCGAUGUUGGAUUAAAAUAAAUUUUUGGUGUAGAAGCUAAAAUAUUAGGUCUGUUCGACCUUUAAAAUUUUACAUGAUCUGAGUUUAAAUCGGCGUGAGCCAGGUUGGUUUCUAUCUUUAAUAAAAAAAAAUAUUUUAGUACGAAAGGACCAAAUAUUUAUAAUAUUUAUUUGUAAAUGAUUAAUAUUA
rnacentral:rRNA from 1 species